AUGGAUUAGGGGGGGACGGGUGAGUAACGCGUGAGUAACCUGCCUUAGAGAAGGGGAUAGCCUUUGGAAACGAAGAAUAAUACCCUAUGAAACCAACACCUCGCAUGAAGUGCUGGUCAAAGAUUUAUCGCUCUAAGAUGGACUUGCGUCUGAUUAGCUAGUUGGUGAGAGAACAGCUCACCAAGGCAACGAUCAGUAGCCGGCUUGAGAGAGUGUACGGCCACAUUGGGACUGAGACACGGCCCAGACUCCUACGGGAGGCAGCAGUGGGGAAUUUUGCACAAUGGGGGAAACCCUGAUGCAGCGACGCCGCGUGAUUUAAAGGCCUUCGGGUUGUAAAAAUCUUUUCUAUGGGAAGAAAAUGACAGUGACCAUAGGAAUAAGGACCGGCUAAUUACGUGCCAGCAGCCGCGGUAAUACGUAAGGUCCGAGCGUUGUCCGGAAUCAUUGGGCGUAAAGGGUACGUAGGCGGGUAAGCAAGUUAGAAGUGAAAUCCUAUAGCUCAACUAUAGUAAGCUUUUAAAACUGUCAUCUUGAGGUAUGGAAGGGAAAGUGGAAUUCCUAGUGUAGCGGUGAAAUGCGCAGAUAUUAGGAGGAAUACCGGUGGCGAAGGCGACUUUCUGGCCAUGAACCUGACGCUGAGGUACGAAAGCGUGGUAGCAUACAGGAUUAGAUACCCUGGUAGUCCACGCCGUCCCGAUGAGUGUUAGUGUCUGGAGUAAAUCUGGUCCCAGCUACGCAUUACACUCCGCCUUGGGUACG
rnacentral:rRNA from 1 species